rnacentral:lncRNA from 1 species
UUUUUUUUUGUCAUCUGAAUUUUAUUAAGAACCCAAGGUAGAAUACGAGUUGAAAUAAAAACGCCGGCGGACUAACGAAAUGUCCCCAGAAACUUAGCCCAAAAGAGGGAAGCAAAACCCCAACAGAACGGGGAAACUAUUUACACCAGCAAUGAAAUCAAACGAAGAGACAAUAUAUCUAAAGAAAAUCAUCCGUUAAGGAAACAAGAAGACCUAAACACUAAAAUUGCGCAAAGAAACCAAAAACUCUCACUAAGCUUUUCCAAAGAAACUGUGAACGCCGGAAGCACCAAUAAGAUCGGAUAGACCUCACACCGAAGUCAAACCAGUAGCAAAACCGUAAGGGAGGAAAGCAAGAAGCCACCGAUAGGAGAGACACAAAUACAAACACCAUCACACCUUACCAACCGGACCGAGAUAGCAAAAUGCACUAGGGACAAGGCAAAAACCUUGAAAAUCGACUAGAGAUAAGCCAAUUAAGAUCAACAGUUCUUACACGCGGCCACUCGUCGAAUGCAGCUUCAACACACCUACAUACAAAAAGCUGAUGACGUCCUCGCAAAAGAAGAACUAGAGAUUGAAUCCAUUGCUUCGCCUAGAACCUAACUCCAAGGAAGAUAGGCUAGUAGGUAGCUCAGCAACAAAAUACCAUCAAAUUGGCCAACACCAAGAACGAAACCAGACCAAACUGCAACCACGAACAAGUAAAAGAACGCAAUAGAGAGGUAGAGCAAAGAUCUAAAGAGUAAAUCCACAAACAGAGUCACCACCAUCGAUACAAGUCUCACAAACAAACACAAAAUCUACGAGAAGACCAAUGAGACAACGAGACUGAGCCACCUAAGUUCAAAUCCGAUCUGGGAGGGGAAGAACCGUACCGUCGAGGAUGUCCAUCAACAACCACAAAAGCAAAGGAACCGAUAGAUCCAACAUAUAAGCGCCAAGACACCACUCAGAGAAGCAACACACCUCUCCGAUAACCUUCAGAUCCAUCAAUUAAGUGCUCCCCCACCAAAAUUUUGCAGAUCUAAAACCAAGAAGACAUCAAAAAUUUCUCGUCGAAACACCACUCUUCCACAGCCGACCAAAGCACAUACAAGGAAAGGAAAAGGAGGGGAGACCGACGCCGGCACUAAAGGAGCCGCCACGCGUCGGUCAGAUCUUGGUCAAGACGGUGAGGUUGAUGAGCGGCGAUAAUUAGGUAGAUGUCAAGUUUCCAACUGGAGUUGUAGCUGUAAUUAUUUUGACUUUUUAGGUUUGACUAUUAAAAAUCAUAUGCAAAGAAACAGUUACAUUUUUUUUUUUUUAGCUACAUUU